ensembl:lncRNA
CCGCGGCGGGGGCGGGGGCGGCCAACCUCGCCUCCAGACCCCGCCGCGGCCCCGGAGUCACAGGCGCACCUCCGCCUCCAGGGACUCUCCCAGGAGAGACCCGCGGGCUCCGGGCCUCGAGGAAGAGGCGGUCCUUUCGUCGUGGAAAGGAGGGACCUGGGGUCCGCGUGAGGUCUGGGGAGAGAGUGAGAGCCGGCGCGUGUUGAUGGAUGGAAGUCUCGUGGAAACGGAGAGGCCAGUACUUUUCAUCUCGGCUUCGCCAAAGAUCCCUGAGCCGUCCCCGGUUCGCGCGCUCGUCCGCAGCCCGGAUCCGGAGUCGGGUUCUCAGGCUGGCGGUUCCGCCAUCUGGGAGGGAGAUCCGGCGUGGUACCCUGAUUGAGGAGGGAGAAGCUGUCAACUCUGACAAAGGAAGGAAACUGGAAGCUAGGGAAGCUGCACCUGCAGAAAGUGCUGGAAUUCCCAGGCCAACCCCACCCCACUGUCCUUUACCUGUACUUGGAUCUUUCUUACUUAGUCGUUUGAGAUUCAGCAGUUACUUGGAUUUUCCUAAGUAAAAUCCAGAAAGGGAAAUUUGUGCUCAUUAACAUGCACAAACAUUUAAAUUUCUGAGUGGCUUGGAUUGAGUCAAGAGGAAAGGAUUCUUCCUGCCAUGGCCGCAGAAAGUUGUCAGUAAAAACUGAGAACUUUCAGCAGAAGAUAGAAAGGCAAUAAUUUAGAGACACAGAGAAAAUCCCUCGAUAGAAAAAAAGAAAAAAAUGCUCCAAGUAAAAGUUAGGAAAUUUAUUUUUUGUACAAAAAUCCUUUGAACCUUGUUUGACAGUAAAUGUAUUUUGUUAGUUAUGUGGGUAGAUCUGAAUUUCUCCGAGACCCUUUGCACUUGUGAAUCUGAGAUUCAUUCUCAGCAAAGAUGAGUAAUGGAUCUUUGAGGAAUCUACGCUUUAAAGUUGAUGUUCCCUGUUGGUCAUGGAAGCAGCUUCGCUUUCGAUACUUUAUGAGGUUGGUUGUCAAGGGAACCUUGGGUAAAAUUUCUCAGGAGUGUCUCUGAAAACAUUAUUCAUAAUUAAAAAGUGAUGCAUAGAAAUCACCAGAAAAGUUAUGGCAAGUUAUGUUCGAACAUGUUUUUUGACCAUGUGGAAUAAAUAAAAUCAUUAAGGUCUGGUUGGGUAAGACUGUCUCCCUGACUUCCUUUGACUGUGCCAGGAGGAUCUGAGAGAGCAUCAUGGAUGUGAGAGCAACCUGUGGAGUAUGAGCUGAAGGGGACCUCCAUUUUCUCUAGAUAUUUCCUGUAUUGAAAUACAAAUUAUAAUUCCAUCCUUUUAAAGACUCCUACAAAGUGUAGUCCAAGAGGUGUGUAAAGUAGCACUAAAGGGGUAUCCUUUUGUUUUUAGACUGGCGACUCGUUUCUUACAUGAUAGUAUACAUGUUUCCAUGCCAUGCUCCCAAAUCAUCCCACCCUCUCCCUCUCCCACAGAGUCCAAAAGUCCAUUCUAUACAUCUGUGUCUCUUUUGCUGUCUCACAUACAGGGUUAUCAUUACCAUCUUUCUAAAUUCCAUAUAUAUAUGUGUUAGUAUACUGUAUUGGUGUUUUUCUUUCUGGCUUACUUCACUCUGUAAAUAGGCUCCAGUUUCAUCGACCUCAUUAGAACUGAUGCAAAUGUAUUCUUUUUAAUGGCUGAGUAAUACUCCAUUGUGUAUAUGUACCACAGCUUUCUUAUCCAUUCAUCUGCUGAUGGACAUCUAGGUUGUUUCCAUGUCCUGGCUAUUAUAAACAGUCCUGGCUGCGAUGAACAUUGGGAUACACGUGUCUCUUUCAAUUCUGGUUUCCUUGGUGUGUAUGCCCAGCAGUGGGAUUGCUGGGUCAUAAGGCAGAUCCAUUUGCAAUUUUUUAAGGAAUCUCCACACUGUUCUCCAUAGUGGCUGUACUAGUUUACAUUCCCACCAACAGUGUAGGAGGGCUCCCUUUUCUCCACACCCUCUCCAGCAUUUAUUGCUUGUAGAAUUUUGAAUCACAGCCAUUCUGACUGGUGUGAAAUGGUACCUCAUUGUGGUCUUGAUUUGCAUUUCUCUGAUAAUGAGUGAUGUUGAGCAUCUUUUCAUGUGUUUGUUAGCCAUCCGUAUGUCUUUUUUGGAGAAAUGUCUAUUUAGUUCUUUGGCCCAUUUUUUGAUUGGGUCGUUUAUUUUUCUGGAAUUGAGCUGCAGAAGUUGCUUGUAUAUUUUUGAGAUUAGUUGUCAGUUGCUUCAUUUGCUAUUAUUUUCUCCCAUUCAGAAGGCUGUCUUUUCACCUUGCUUAUAUUUUCCUUUGUUGUGCAGAAGCUUUUAAUUUUAAUUAGAUCCCAUUUGUUUAUUUUUGCUUUUAUUUCCAGUAUUCUGGGAGGUGGAUCAUAGAGGAUCCUGCUGUGAUUUAUGUCUGAGAGUGUUUUGCCUAUGUUCUCCUCUAGGAGUUUUAUAGUUUCUGGUCUUACGUUUAGAUCUUUAAUCCAUUUUGAGUUUAUUUUUGUGUAGGUGUUAGAAAGUGAUCUAGUUUCAUUCUUUUACAAGUGGUUGACCAGUAAAGGGGCAUCUUUAAUACCUGUAGGUUUUGGGCUUUUUUUUUUUUUCUUUUUUAAAAGGGGGAUAAAGACGGUGAAAAAUCCCAUGUGAUAGAGUCUGAAAGAUUGAAUGAACCCAUUGGAACAUAAACCCACAGUCAGAUGAUGUCCCACAGGUUGGUAUCUUAGUGGUGAAAUUCUCAAGACAGACUCUGUUGCUACCAAACUUGGCUCUGCAGGAAAAAGCAGUUCAUUGAGGUCCAAAGGUUUGUAGGGCAGGGCUUGUCAAGGCUGUGUAGUAGCCUAUACUGCUAAUGUAGCUUCUAAAGGCAUCGGGUUUACAGUCUGACUUAUCUUGGGCUCUAGUGGACUGUGACAGUAUGUCAGCUGCUAAUAUUUAUGUGGAGAAUCAGCAUUUACUAGGGCAGUGGACUUAUGAAAUAAUCCAGACAGAAGCCCUUGCACUCACUAAAAACUGCUCCCACUGAACUACUCACUAAAAGAAUAGGUGCCGUUUCUAAGCCCAUUCGUGUUCACCCAGAUGCACCAUGGCAUACUUUAUUAGGUCAUUUUUUACCUCUUCACAGUCAGCUAAACCAGGAGCCUGUGUGAUGAGUCACCGGCAUGUGAAGGUGGCUACAACAGAUAGGUUGGCUGAAUAUUCCAGGCGCUGGCUAUUCAUAAGUAGUCUAGAGCUGGCCUCACUUAGAAGUAGCUUGUACAUUACGUUUCAGAAGGAAUGUCAUUCUUUGAAUUGGGGAGGCCUCCCUCUCUCCUGCUUGCAAACAGGCUGUUACUCAUUCAGGAGACAUUCCUGGGGGGCCACAGUGUGCCAGGCACCCAGCCACGCAUUCACUUGAUAAGAGGCCCUGCCAUGGAGUCAGUCCAUUCUGCCUGCCUGUGAGAAUCUGGCCUACUAAUGUGUACCAAGGACCUUAGAAAUGUUCACAGCUUUUAAGCUAGUAUUUCUGUUUCUCGUAAUUUGUCGUAUGGAAAUGAUUUCUAAUAUGACAAAACUUUUUUUUUAAGUUUUUCUUUAGAUGAGUUCUUGCAUACGGUUAAGAAUGCAAGCUUUGGUGUCACGUCUAGUUUGGUUUCUCUCUAAGCCUUGGUUUUGUGAUCUGUACAGUGGGGAUAAUAGCUGCUUCUAAGAGGGCUAUGAUUUUUAACUAAAAUCAGGAACCAUAUAAUUCAAACCAGUCAACCCUAAAGGAAAAAGAAAGUGAACGUGUAGUCAUUCAGUCGUGUCCGGUUCUUUGUGACCCCCUGGACUGUAGCCUUUCAGGCUCCUCUGCCCAUGGGAUUCUCCAGGCAAGUAUACUGGAGUGGGUUGCCAUUUCCUUCUCUGGGGGAUCUUCCCAACCCAGGGAUUGAACCUAGGUCUCCUGCAUUACAGGCAGAUUCUUUUCCAUCUGAGCCACCAGGGAAGCCCGUCUCAACCUUGAAUUGGAAGGACUGGAGCUUCAACUGAAGCUCCAAUGCUUUGGCCAGCUGAUGGGAAAAGCCAACUCAUUGGAAAAGACCCUGAUGCUGGGAAAGAUUGAAGGCAAAAGGAGAAGGGGGUGACAGGAUGAGAUGGUUAGUUAGCAUCACCAACUCAAUGGACAUGAAUUUGAGCAAACUCUGAGAGAUAGUGGAGGGCAGAGGAGACCAGUGUGCUGCAGUCCCUGGAGUUACAAAGCACUGGACAUGACUUAGCGACUGCACAACAGCAAAACCAUAUGAUUCACCCAUUUGAAGUGUACAGUUCAGUGGUUUUUAGUAUAUAUCCUCAUAUAUGUGCAAUCCUCCUCACAAAUAAGUUUUAGAACACUUUUAUCACCUCCAAAAGAAACCCCACUAGCUAUUAACUCCCAAUCUUCCCACCCCUACCAGUAGCCCCAAACAACCACUAACCUACUUUCUUUCUCUGCAUUUCCCUGUUCUAGACUCUCACAUGACUAGAAUCCUAUAGUAUGUGGUCUUAUGUGUCCAGCUUCUUCCAGUUAGCAUGAUGUUUUCACAGUUCAUCGAUGUUGUAGCAUGUAUCAGGACUCCAUUCCUUUUUUAUGGUCAAAUAAUAUUCCAUUGUAUGGAUAUACCACAUUUUCUUUUUAAAAAAUAUUUUAAUUAUUUGACUGUACCAGGUCUUUAUUUUUGGCACUUGGGAUCUUCAGUCAUUGUUGCAGCAUAUGGCGUCUGUAGUUGCGGCAUCCAGAAUCUAUUAGUUGCAGCAUCCAAACUCUCAGUUGGAGCACAUGGGAUCUAGUUCCCUGACCGGGGAUCAAACUCAGGCCCCAUGCAUGGGAGCAUGGAGUCUUAGCCCCUGGACUGCCCGAAAGUCCACAUUUUCUUUAUCUGCUCUUUGAUGAUCAUGUGUUUUGUUUCCACCUUUUGGCUUUGAUGAAUAAUGUUCCUCCAACUUUUAUUUUGGUCCCUUAAAAAUUUUGAAAGUGAAAGUUGCUCAGUUGUGUCCGACUCUUUCUGACCCCGUGGACUAUACAGUCCGUGGAAUUCUCCAGGCCAGAAUACUGGAGUGGGUAGCUUUCCCUUCUCCAGGGGAUCUUCCCAACCCAUGGAUUGAACCCAGGCCUCCCGCAUUGCAGGUGGAUUCUUUACCAACUGAGCCACCAGGGAAGCCCAAGAAUACUGGGGUGGGUAGCCUGUCCCUUCUCCAGCAGAUCUUCUUGAUCCAGGAAUCGAACCAGGGUCUUCUCCAUUGCAGGUGAAUUCUUUACCAACUGAGCUGUGAGGGAAGCAAUAUUUUGUGAAUUUUAUAGCAAGGAUAAUCUGGCCUGGGUAACUCGUACAUUUGAGUCUGGUGUUAAGGAUAGGGCAAGAUUAUGGAUUUCAUCCUGGUAUUGGUCAGUUAGCUCAGUACACAUUCAAACUGUUCCAAGCCACAUUUACAGGUUUCAUCUGUACCCUUAUGUCCAGCAGACUAGUUUAUAAUGAAUGGGCUUGUUCACCAGAAAGAUAAGACUCUAAGCUCAUCUCUGCUCUUGCCUGGGAAAUCCCAUGGUCAGGCUACAGUGCGUGGGACUGCCAAAAAAUUGGACAUGGCUGAGUGGCUAAACAACAGCUAGUCAGAAAACAGCCCUGUGGUUGGUAGCACUGAUUGUGGUGACUUAACAGAGGUCCUGAGAUUUGACUUUUGGCAUUUUCCCUUUAGAAAUUGUAUCUCCUGGAUGUUGGGAAUAUUCUGGGUCUUGAUCUGGGUGAUGGUUACAUGAGAUUCAUGUGAAAAAUUCACCAAGCUGCUUACUUAAAACUUGUAUAUAAUAUUUAAUUAUAUGAAAAUUACUCUCUAAUUAAAGAAAAUAAGUAUAACCCGGCAGAAAUUAUAAUCAGAUCACCCUUUUAACUCGACCAUCCCAACUACUUCUGCCUUUCUGGCUGUUUCUAAAUGACCACAGAGACAGGCCACACAGCUGGUAAGGGACAGAGCUGGGGUUUAAUCCAGCUCUUACUCGGUGUGUAGUGUGACUUUCACUGGGAACUCUUCCAGUGCCUAGGAUCUGCCUGAACCAUGUGGCGAAUGAGUCCUGGGGCUGCUCUAGGGGCUCAGGUCUCCUGGACCUGGGGUGCAUGCUCUGUCCAUCCUGUGCCCCUCUUUACCCCUCGCUCCCAGCAUUGUACUGGUCGUGUAGUAGAUGGCCAGUACAUAUGUGUUGAGUCAGUGUUACCAGAGCAGAGUUCUUGCCAAAGGCCAAGCAGACUGCCCACUUGGCAGUUGCUGGAAAAACCAAGGCAGGAAACUCAAUUCCUAUUUUUUCCCCAUGGCAACACCAAUGGCUGUUGGUCUGUCACAAGCGCAUGGAAAGUUCCCACUGGAGAUAUCAGAGCUCUCUGGCAGGACCCGUAGGUGUUAAUUUUAGCUUUCAAUGACUGAUGCCCUUGUAUAAUUUAAUGGGUCAGGAGGAGCAUGAGCGAAAGCCAAGAUUACUCACUCAGAGAGCUUUUCCUUUCCUGUCGAGCACUUGCUGAGUUAUUCAGUUUGUAAAGGACUUGCCACUUAUUCAUUUAUUUGGAGAGAGUUUCCGCUGUUUUGAGUCUAGCCUGAUAACUAUAAAUGAUUCCUUAAAUCUAUUAGCAAUCUAUCCUAUCAAUCAGAUUUUCUUUCUGAGUUUAUGCAUUAAACAUGAGUUCAACUCACAGCGUCAAAUGCUAAAAGGCUAUAGAUAUAAUCAUAAAAUAAAAUGCUCACAUUUCCCUACAUACCCUGAGUUGAAAUAUACGUAGGUUGAAUGUCAAUUACUUGGAACGAGGAAGUGAAUAUCCACAGGGGUUUCUGUGUCUACCCCAUUUUACUACUUGAGUCCUGGUAGGAAAUGAGGACUUGGCAUAUUGAGGAAAGAGGCUUGUGCUUCUGGAGAAAUAAUAUCUCAGCUGCCAAUUGCAGCUGCCCUGGGGUCACUGGGGAUAGGACUCUCUAGCUGAGCACAGAUUCAUGCAUUUGACUUUGUGCAUCGUCUACUCCCACACUGUAUGUAACCCAUCUCCCUGGGCCUCAGGUGCAUCAGCUGUUGGAGGAGCUUUCUGAGCUUUUGCCUGGUGGUGGUCCCUGCUGGUCCACAGAACAGCUUCAGCGGACUGUGUUCUUCGCUUGUUCAGUGGGCUUUGUCGAAUUCCUUGAAUAUUUUAUUGAUCCCUCCCUAAUUAAUAUUGGAAAGUCGGUAGAAAAUGGUGAAAGAGGAUCAUAGACUUCGUAAUGCAAUGUAAUAGAAAUGGAAAGGAAUUAUUAGAUGCUGUGAAAGUGUGGGUCUUUAAAUUCAACCGAAAGAAAUAAAACUGCCCAACUGUGGACCCAAUCAUGAAGGACAAGAAUGAUAAUAGAGAACAUGGAUAAGGUGUUAAAAUAUAAUAGUAUAAAUACAUCUGAGGUAAGCAAACAGGUUAACAGGGGGAAAGCUCUCUCUGUGUAAAAGUAUUUGACUAUACUAUCUAUAAAAGAAAGCAGGAUAGAAUUAGGAUACGUCAUGUUGUGAACCUCUGAUGAAAUUAUGGAUUUCACCAAAGGCCGCCUCAUCAUCAAUGGCCAAUAGAAGGCAUUGUCUUUGGUUUUCAUUAGUUUUACUGAUUUGCCUAGAAAUACGUUGUUUUGUUGUAGUUAUCAUGCUCGACUCUGUGCUUUGAUGUCUCUUGUCAUUUUAGAAAAUUCUCAGUAGUCUUGUCUUCAAAUAUCACUUCUCUUUAUCCCCUCCAUCAUCUUGUCCCCACUCCAGUAAUACCUAUGUUAGAUCUUGACAGUGAGCUCCACAUGUUUCAUAUGCAUGUUUUUGCGUUGUUCAUGCUUGCAAUUUGGGCCAGUGUUCAGACUAAAUCUGGUUUCCCUUUCUCUCAGGGUAUAGACCUGAGGUCUCAAUUGAAAGCUUUUUAUCAAUCCUGAGCCUUAGAAAGCCUCAAGGCUCCUCCUCUCUGGCAGGCCUGGGGUUCUAAUUUUUUGCAUCUCUAGCAGCAUGGCUUGCAUUAGUUUCCUAGCAUUGCUGUAACCAAUACCGCAAACUUGGUGGCUUAAAAACAAUAGAAAUUUAUUCUCCCGCAGUUCUGGAGAUCAGGAAUCGAGGUGUCAUGAGGGCCAUGCUUCCUCUGAAAGCUCUCAGGAAGAUUCCUUCUAUGCCUCCUCCAUCUUCUGGUGCCCCCAAGCCUCCCUGCAUUGGUAGCUGGAGCACUCUGAUCUCUGGCUCCAUUCUCCCAGGGUCUCUUGCCGUGUGUCUCUGUGUUCUCCUCUCUUCCUGUAAGGAGGCCAGUCAUGGAAUUUAGGGCCCGCUCUGAAUCAGAAUGGGCUUCUCUAGUGGCUCAGGAAGUAAAGAAUCUGCCUGCAG